UGAAUACGAGACGCUAAGGCGUCGAAGUAGUGUAUGUCAUACUUCCAAGAAAAGCUUGCACUGUCAUAGAUAAAAAACGCCUGUACCAUAACCGACACAGGUGGGUAGGUAGAGUAUACUAAGGGGCGCGAGAUAACUCUCUCUAAGGAACUCGGCAAAAUAACUCCGUAACUUCGGGAGAAGGAGUGCCUUAUUCGUAAGGUUGCAAUAACAAGAUCCAAGCAACUGUUUAUCAAAAACACAGGUCUCCGCUAAGUCGUAAGACGAUGUAUGGGGGCUGACGCCUGCCCAGUGCCAGAAGGUUAAAGAAGUUGGUUAGCAAUUGCGAAGCUGAUAACUGAAGCCCUGGUGAACGGCGGCCGUAACAAUAACGGUCCUAAGGUAGCGAAAUUCCUUGUCGGGUAAGUUCCGACCCGCACGAAAGGCGUAAUGAUUUGGAUACUGUCUCGGAGAGGGGCUCGGUGAAAUAGACUUGUCUGUGAAGAUGCGGACUACCUGCACCAGGACAGAAAGACCCUAUGAAGCUUUACUGUAACUUGAAAUUGAAAUUGGACUUUAUUCGCGCAGCAUAGGUGGGAGGCGUUGAUUAUAAUCUUGCGGGAUUAUUGGAGCCAUCAGUGAGAUACCACUCUUGUAAUGUUAGAUUUCUAACUUUGAAUCAUUAUCUGGUCAAAGAACAGUUUCAGGCGGGCAGUUUGACUGGGGCGGUCGCCUCCUAAACGGUAACGGAGGCGUACAAAGGUUUCCUCUGAACGGUUAGAAAUCGUAUCUAGAGUGUAAAGGCAUAAGGAAGCUUGACUGUGAGACCUACAAGUCGAGCAGGGACGAAAGUCGGUCUUAGUGAUCUGACGGUACUGAGUGGAAAGGCCGUCACUCAACGGAUAAAAGUUACUCUAGGAUAACAGGCUGAUCUCCCCCAAGAGUUCACAUCGACGGGGAGGUUUGGCACCUUGAUGUCGGCUCAUCGCAUCCUGGGGCGGUAGUACGUCCCAAGGGUUGGGCUGUUCGCCCAUGAAAGCGGUACGCGAGCUGGGUUCAGAACGUCGUGAGACAGUUCGGUCCAUAUCCGGUGUAGGCGUUAGAAUAUUGAGAGGAGCCUUCUUUAGUACGAGAGGACCGAGAAGGACAUACCUCUGGUGUACCAGUUAUCGUGCCAACGGUAAACGCUGGGUAGCUAUGUAUGGAGUGGAUAACCGCUGAAAGCAUCUAAGUGGGAAGCCCACCUCAAGAUAAGUAUUCUCGU
rnacentral:rRNA from 1 species